rnacentral:rRNA from 1 species
GUCCUAGCCGUAACAAUGGAUACUAGGUGUUGAACAGAUCGACCUGUGCAGUACCAAAGCUAACGCGUUAAGUAUCCCGCCUGGGAAGUAUGCACGCAAGUGUGAAACUCAAAGGAAUUGACGGGGGCCCGCACAAGCGGUGGAGCAUGUGGUUUAAUUCGAUGCAACGCGAAGAACCUUACCAGGGUUUGACAUGAUACGAAUUUCUUUGAAAGAAGAAAGUGCCUUUUGGAACGUAUACACAGGUGGUGCAUGGCUGUCGU